rnacentral:lncRNA from 1 species
ACGUGAUAUAAAAGGCUAUUUUCUUUUUUUUUCCCCUUAUAUUCAUUUUUUUUCUUUUCUUCUUUUUUUCAGCACAUUAGCAAGAAUUUAAUGUAAAGAGCAGACAAUCUAUGGUCUCAGUUCAACAGAGGAAGUACUUCCAGAGCUUCAAUUACAUUAGAAUUCCCCUUGACUUGUAAACGGACUAUCAGAGACAAUGGAAGAAGGAAAUCAGUAGCAGGUCUGGAAACUUAAUCCAGUUUCCAUACAUCAUGCUGUUGACAAGACUAUAAAUGCUUAAAGGAUGCCUUAAUUUGGCAUCAACUCUAAAGUCACACCCACAACUUUCUUUGUACUCUGCAGAAUGGACUCCUUCAAGAUAUCCCAUAUUUGGAACAUAACGUGGAAAGUAGAGCCAAUUGCCAGAGUUUGAGGUCGUACAUCUCCAGACUUUCAAAUUUCAUUAUCUUAAGCACAAAUCAACAUCAACAUUGCUCUGGACUGGCUCUGAUAUGCUGCUCAGAAUUAAUAAGGGUGGGUGAUAUUUUAUUCGAUUUCAUUUUAUUAGGGAGUAAAUUCAGAAAGUAACUUAACACAGGUUGGAAACUAAAGUUUUUCAGACUAUUCAUGAUACUUCUGUCUUAACAAUUGGUGGACAAAAUAAAAUGACCACAUUAUCCUUUUCUGACA